GCCUUCGUGGUGUAGGAGUUAGCACGCUGGGCCCGUAUUCCAGAGGUCCGUGGUUCGAAUCCAGGAGAAGGCG
rnacentral:tRNA from 1 species